rnacentral:rRNA from 1 species
GACGAACGCUGGCGGCGUGCCUAAUACAUGCAAGUUGAGCGCUGAAGGUUGGUACUUGUACCAACUGGAUGAGCAGCGAACGGGUGAGUAACGCGUGGGGAAUCUGCCUUUGAGCGGGGGACAACAUUUGGAAACGAAUGCUAAUACCGCAUAAAAACUUUAAACACAAGUUUUAAGUUUGAAAGAUGCAAUUGCAUCACUCAAAGAUGAUCCCGCGUUGUAUUAGCUAGUUGGUGAGGUAAAGGCUCACCAAGGCGAUGAUACAUAGCCGACCUGAGAGGGUGAUCGGCCACAUUGGGUCUGAGACACGGCCCAAACUCCUACGGGAGGCAGCAGUAGGGAAUCUUCGGCAAUGGACGAAAGUCUGACCGAGCAACGCCGCGUGAGUGAAGAAGGGUUUCGGAUCGUAAAACUCUGUUGGUAGAGAAGAACGUUGGUGAGAGUGGAAAGCUCAUCAAGUGACGGUAACUACCCAGAAAGGGACGGCUAACUACGUG